rnacentral:rRNA from 1 species
UACGAAGGGGGGCUAGCGUUGUUCGGAUUUACUGGGCGUAAAGCGCACGUAGGCGGAUCGUUAAGUCGGGGGUGAAAUCCUGGAGCUCAACUCCAGAACUGCCUUCGAUACUGGCGAUCUUGAGUCCGGAAGAGGUGAGUGGAACUCCUAGUGUAGAGGGUGAAUUCGUAGAUAUUAGGAAGACACCAGUGGCGAAGGCGGCUCACUGGUCCGGUACUGACGCUGAGGUGCGAAAGCGUGGGGAGCAAACAGG